GGUGCUGGAGAUGCACCACGUGAUCACCGUCAGCGGAAAGGAAUUGCACCUCCUGCUAUCCAGAACAACAACUUCGAGAUUAAGAGUGGUCUCAUCUCGAUGAUUCAGGGGAACAAAUUCCAUGGUCUGCCAAUAGAGGA
rnacentral:sRNA from 1 species